GGGCUGCGAAGUCCGACUCUGCCACCUCCUCGUGGUGCAGCCUGGUAACAUCAUCUAGUGAUGAUGGCCAAGAGCAGAGCGGUUGUUAUGAGUGUCUGAUUCUUAGUGAACUCAGCAUUCAUUGGCCUUCAGGCCUUGAUCUUUGCUCACUACAAGCAAUCGCCCUGCUUCCGCCCUGCCUCUGCUCCCUGCGAGCAAUCACCCUGCCGCUGCUCACUACGAGCAAUCGCCCUGCCGCUGCUCCCUACGAGCAAUCACCCUGCCGCUGCUCACUACGAGCAAUCGCCCUGCCGCUGCUCACUACGAGCAAUCGCACUGCCGCUGCUCCCUGCGAGCAAUCACCCUGCCGCUGCUCCCUGCGAGCAAUCGCCCUGCCGCUGCUCCCUGCGAGCAAUCGCCCUGCCGCUGCUCCCUGCGAGCAAUCACCCUGCCGCUGCUCACUACGAGCAAUCGCCCUGCCGCUGCUCCCUGCGAGCAAUCACCCUGCCGCUGCUCACUACGAGCAAUCGCCCUGCUUCCGCCCUGCCUCUGCUCCCUGCGAGCAAUCACCCUGCCGCUGCUCACUACGCGCAAUCGCCCUGCCGCUGCUCCCUGCGAGCAAUCACCCUGCCGCUGCUCACUACGAGCAAUCGCCCUGCCGCUGCUCACUACGAGCAAUCGCACUGCCUCUGCUCCCUGCGAGCAAUCACCCUGCCGCUGCUCACUACGCGCAAUCGCCCUGCCGCUGCUCCCUGCGAGCAAUCGCCCUGCUUCCGCCCUGCCUCUGCUCCCUGCGAGCAAUCACCCUGCCGCUGCUCACUACGAGCAAUCGCCCUGCCAUAGCACUUGCGUGCUUUGAUUAUCUCUACCAUGAAUGGCCAUACGUCGGGCCAGAAGUGGAUGAACAGUCUAUAUAGACUGAGUCUUCUCAAGAGUUGUUAUCUGGAUCCUGUGUCUAUCAUUACUGUGUAUAUAGAGAUUUCUCCAGCGUAGCACAUCCCCAUGCCCUUUGAGAGACUUUUGAAGUGCAGGCAUUGCCUGUAUCUUCUCUGGGACAUUAAACCAAUACAUACAUACAUAC
rnacentral:sRNA from 1 species